rnacentral:rRNA from 1 species
ACAUGCAAGUCGAACGCUCACCUUCGGGUGGGAGUGGCAGACGGGUGAGUAACACGUGGGAACGUACCCUUUGGUUCGGGACAACUCUGGGAAACUGGAGCUAAUACCGGAUACGCCCUUUUGGGGAAAGGUUUACUGCCGAAGGAUCGGCCCGCGUCUGAUUAGCUAGUUGGUGGGGUAACGGCCUACCAAGGCGACGAUCAGUAGCUGGUCUGAGAGGAUGAUCAGCCACACUGGGACUGAGACACGGCCCAGACCCCUACGGGAGGCAGCAGUGGGGAAUAUUGGACAAUGGGCGCAAGCCUGAUCCAGCCAUGCCGCGUGAGUGAUGAAGGCCUUAGGGUUGUAAAGCUCUUUUAUCCGGGACGAUAAUGACGGUACCGGAGGAAUAAGCCCCGGCUAACUUCGUGCCAGCAGCCGCGGUAAUACGAAGGGGGCUAGCGUUGCUCGGAAUCACUGGGCGUAAAGGGCGCGUAGGCGGCGUUUUAAGUCGGGGGUGAAAGCCUGUGGCUCAACCACAGAAUGGCCUUCGAUACUGGGACGCUUGAGUCUGGUAGAGGUUGGUGGAACUGCGAGUGUAGAGGUGAAAUUCGUAGAUAUUCGCAAGAACACCGGUGGCGAAGGCGGCCAACUGGACCGGCACUGACGCUGAGGCGCGAAAGCGUGGGGAGCAAACAGGAUUAGAUACCCUGGUAGUCCACGCUGUAAACGAUGAAUGCUAGCUGUUGGGAUGCAUGCAUCUCAGUAGCGCAGCUAACGCAUUAAGCAU